rnacentral:rRNA from 1 species
GUAACGGCCCACCAAGGCGACGAUUGGUAGCCGGACUGAGAGGUUGAACGGCCACAUUGGGACUGAGACACGGCCCAGACUCCUACGGGAGGCAGCAGUGGGGGAUAUUGCACAAUGGGGGAAACCCUGAUGCAGCGACGCCGCGUGGAGGAAGAAGGUUUUCGGAUUGUAAACUCCUGUCGUUAGGGACGAUAAUGACGGUACCUAACAAGAAAGCACCGGCUAACUACGUGCCAGCAGCCGCGGUAAAACGUAGGGUGCAAGCGUUGUCCGGAAUUACUGGGUGUAAAGGGAGCGCAGGCGGGAAGACAAGUUGGAAGUGAAAACCAUGGGCUCAACCCAUGAAUUGCUUUCAAAACUGUUUUUCUUGAGUAGUGCAGAGGUAGAUGGAAUUCCCGGUGUAGCGGUGGAAUGCGUAGAUAUCGGGAGGAACACCAGUGGCGAAGGCGGUCUACUGGGCACCAACUGACGCUGAGGCUCGAAAGCAUGGGUAGCAAACAGGAUUAGAUACCCUGGUAGUCCAUGCCGU